rnacentral:lncRNA from 1 species
CGUCAUUCUUUCACUUAUUGAGUCUUCCAUAGGGACAGCCACCUUUAAAGAAUAUAAAUCAUUGAGCAACCUGUUUCACUAUAAACCACAGGUAACUUCUCUGCCAGAAGUGAAAUCUAUUUUAAAUCAUAUUUAAAAGUAUUCAUAUAUUUAGAAAAUUUAAUUUUUCUAGCUUUUAAACAUGUUCAUGAAAAAAAUUUUUCGAACUGUUUAGAAAAACGGAAUCAUUUAGGAAGUCUACAAAAUGCCUGAAAAAAUUAGUUAAGUUAAGGUACUUUCUUACAUAGAAAAUUAAAUCACUCUAUAGAAUUAGAAACUAGAAUUCACUAGCUCUUUUAAGGCAGAAACCAUACCUAGCAAUUAGUAAAUUAUUAGCAAUCAUUUGUUGAAUAAAUGAAUAGAUGGAAUAUUAACAAAAUCAAGAUUGUAUUAGAUAAAAUGUAUAAUUAAGUAAUAGUAAAAUUAUGUAAUUCUUUAAGCGCUAGAUAACAUGAUUUUGACUUAUCCAGUGGAAUUUUUGGUGGAUAUAUCUUCACCUACAAGAAAAGCAUCUUGGGAAAUUAUUGGGAUGAUUGGUAUGAAUAAUCUAUAAAAUUGUUCCUCGUAUCUUUAUAUUCACACUGUCUUGGUUGUUUUGCUUUUUUAAAACAUAGUUUCAGAGCCAUCUAUUGUAAAGAGAACUUCAAAAUGUCAAGGAGAAUUCACUACCUACAGAAUGAAGGAAAGACCAUGUGAGGACACAGUGAGGAGGCAGCCAUCUGCACGCCAGGAAGAAAGGCUUCCUUGCUUGAUCUUGGACUUCUGGCCUCCAGAAAUGAACUCACCUGGAGUGUCCAUGAAGGUCAUACUAUUGACAUACUUCUGAAAAAUAG